CUGGCGGCGUGCCUAACACAUGCAAGUCGAACGGGGUGAGGCCCUUCGGGACCUUUACCUAGUGGCGAACGGGUGAGUAACGCGUGAGGAACCUGCCUUUCAGUGGGGGACAACAGUUGGAAACGACUGCUAAUACCGCAUGAAGCUUUUGGGAGACAUCUCCUGAAAGCCAAAGCUUAAUGUGCUGAAAGAUGGCCUCGCGUCUGAUUAGCUAGUUGGUGGGGUAACGGCCCACCAAGGCGACGAUCAGUAGCCGGUCUGAGAGGAUGAACGGCCACAUUGGGACUGAGAUACGGCCCAGACUCCUACGGGAGGCAGCAGUGGGGAAUAUUGGGCAAUGGGCGAAAGCCUGACCCAGCAACGCCGCGUGAAGGAAGAAGGCCUUCGGGUUGUAAACUUCUUUUACCAGGGACGAAGGACGUGACGGUACCUGGAGAAAAAGCAACGGCUAACUACGUGCCAGCAGCCGCGGUAAUACGUAGGUUGCAAGCGUUGUCCGGAUUUACUGGGUGUAAAGGGCGUGUAGGCGGAGAUGCAAGUUAGGAGUGAAAUCUAUGGGCUCAACCCAUAAACUGCUUCUAAAACUGUAUCCCUUGAGUAUCGGAGAGGCAAGCGGAAUUCCUAGUGUAGCGGUGAAAUGCGUAGAUAUUAGGAGGAACACCAGUGGCGAAGGCGGCUUGCUGGACGACAACUGACGCUGAGGCGCGAAAGCGUGGGGAGCAAACAGGAUUAGAUACCCUGGUAGUCCACGCUGUAAACGAUGAAUACUAGGUGUGGGGGGACUGACCCCCUCCGUGCCGCAGUUAACACAAUAAGUAUUCCACCUGGGGAGUACGACCGCAAGGUUGAAACUCAAAGGAAUUGACGG
rnacentral:rRNA from 1 species